CAGUCGCCACGGUAAUACAGAGGGUGCGAGCGUUAAUCGGAUUUACUGGGCGUAAAGCGUGCGUAGGCGGCUUUUUAAGUCGGAUGUGAAAUCCCUGAGCUUAACUUAGGAAUUGCAUUCGAUACUGGGAAGCUAGAGUAUGGGAGAGGAUGGUAGAAUUCCAGGUGUAGCGGUGAAAUGCGUAGAGAUCUGGAGGAAUACCGAUGGCGAAGGCAGCCAUCUGGCCUAAUACUGACGCUGAGGUACGAAAGCAUGGGGAGCAAACAGGAUUAGAUACCCGUGUAGUCCCUGUCUCUUAUAA
rnacentral:rRNA from 1 species